rnacentral:rRNA from 1 species
CCCAUGCAGCGUGGUACCAAUAUGAGGCGGGCUGGACACCUCCAGCCGGGCACUGCUUCACGGCGUGCGCGGCUGGGGCCGGCCCUGCUGAAUUAUUCACCCGUGUCUUUUGCGUACUUCUUGUUUCCUGGGUGGGCUCGCCCGCCAUCAGGACCAACCAUAAACCUUUUUGUAAUAGCAAUCAGCGUCAGUAACAACGUAAUUAAUUACAACUUUCAACAACGGAUCUCUUGGUUCUGGCAUCGAUGAAGAACGCAGCGAAAUGCGAUACGUAGUGUGAAUUGCAGAAUUCAGUGAAUCAUCGAAUCUUUGAACGCACAUUGCGCCCUUUGGUAUUCCAAAGGGCAUGCCUGUUCGAGCGUCAUUUGUACCCUCAAGCUUUGCUUGGUGUUGGGCGUCUUUUGUCUCCAGCUCGCUGGAGACUCGCCUUAAAGUCAUUGGCAGCCGGCCUACUGGUUUCGGAGCGCAGCACAAGUCGCGCUCUUGCCCAGCCAAGGUCAGCGUCCAACAAGCCUUUUUUUCAACCUUUGACCUCGGAUCAGGUAGGGAUACCCGCUGAACUUAAGCAUAUCAAUAAG